rnacentral:rRNA from 1 species
AUUGAACGCUGGCGGCAGGCCUAACACAUGCAAGUCGAACGAGUGGCGGACGGGUGAGUAAGGUCUGGGAAACUGCCUGAUGGAGGGGGAUAACUACUGGAAACGGUAGCUAAUACCGCAUACCAUCGGAUGUGCCCAGAUGGGUUGAGCUAGUAGGUGGGGUAACGGCUCACCUAGGCGACGAUCCCUAGCUGGUCUGCGAGGAUGACCAGCCACACUGGAACUUAGACAUGGUCCAGACUCCUACGGGAGGCAGCAGUGGGGAAUAUUUGACAAUGGGCGCAAGCCUGAUGCAGCCAUGCCGCGUGUAUGAAGAAGGCCUUCGGGUUGUAAAGUACUGUCAUCGGGGAGGCGUUACCCGCAGAAGAAGCACCGGCUAACUCCGUGCCAGCAGCCGCGGUAAUAC